GGGGCAGCCGAGCGCCGCCCGGGAUCGCGCGGGGUCCGCUCCGCACCCGGCGGGGUCGCGGCUGCCUCUUUCUUUCCUUGCAUCUUUUUCUUUCUUUCGUUCUUUCUUUCUUUCUUUUUUUUUCUUAAAUUUUCACGCCCCUUAAGCCAGGUGGAUCGCUCGCACGGGGCCGGGCUCGGAUCGCGACUCCGAACGCAGGACCAGCGUCCCCCCUCGCGGAGCCCGCGGCGGCGGCGGGUUCGAGCCCCGCGGACGCCGGGACCCGACCCGACCGACCCGACCCGACCCGGGGCCGCCCGGCCCUGCCUGCGGCGUUCUAGCAAUCACUUCUUCUUAAUCCACAAAUCCAACAACUCCCUAACAGUGCAAGCCAUACAAGAGGAAGAAGGAGAAGGAAAGAAGGAGAAGAAAAGGGGCAGAAACGCGAAAGGAACUCUGGUCCGACAAAGCGUUAGACGAUUAUGUGUUAAACACCUUUAGCUGACAUCACUCAAUCCCGACACCUGGUCUCAGUCUCUCUAAUGCUAGAAUUUCAGGUCCAGGCUUCUGACAAGAAAUUUGAUUGAACUGCAGGCUUUCCCCAGCCGGAAGAAUUUUAAGAGACCGUUUUAGGGCGUGUUGGCUAGAUGAGGAGACAGAGGUAAACAAGUAUUGUAGACUGCUUUCAAAAUAGAGGAUGAUUUAUUUUGCUAGGAACUCAUAUGGCUCAAAAAGGUAUAUGCAUUAGGUUUGAACCUUCAGCUCUGAAAUAGGGCUGGAAUUGAAUUAGGCAAGAUUUGAACUUGCCUUUGAGAUUGGGUGGUAUGCCAUAUAUAUUGUGAAGAAAUUCACUGUAAGAUAUUCACCUGCCUUUGGACAUAGCAACAGCCUCAUAUAAGCUUAGAGAUGCCAAAUCUCUCUUCCUUCAUCUUCAGUAAGAUGACUACAUUCCUUUGGAUGAUGAAGGCUGUUGGAUUUCCCUUAGAUGAAAGAUUUAAGAGUAUUUCUGCUGCUUUCUGUAUGCUACAAAAGUAUACAUUUGUAUGAGUAUGUACAAGUAUACUAUAAAGGUACUAUGGAAGUCUACUCGUGUUCAAAUUUCAAGUAACAUGGGCAUUCCUGAAGUGGCAUAAGUAAUGAAUUUCCCCUACACCGAUGCUGUGAGGCAUAACACAAGGGGAAAAUCUUGGUAACUUGGUAAGUCAAAGAAAGGCAAAUAAUAACAUAUCUUCCAUGAACAUCCCCCUCCCUAAAUGCUCAAACUGGGAAUUAAGUUCCCUGUAUCCUACCUAGCUUUUGCUACUGUUAUUCUUCCCUUUUUACGUAGGUCUACUAAUAGCAUUGCACUAUGCCAAUGAUGGAGUGGACGGAGACAGAUAAAAGAAUAGGGAUGUGGGAAUGGAUGAGGGACAAAACAUUAGGGCAGAAUUUUUUAAGACAGGAAGAUGAGUUAGAAGAAUUAGAGGAAACUAGUUGUGGUAGAAAUAAUGAGUCUAGCACUUUGAUUAAAAGGCUAUACUAACCCAAGUAGGAAUAGAAAUAACCAAUUGGUCACCAUGUGACAUCCCAAGGGUAAUAUUUGAAUUUUCUCCCACUCUCACCUCCUUCAAAAUCCAGUCAAGGUAUUUGGGGAAGAUGUUUUCCCACCCUCCAAUGUAUAUUCAUGACCACAGAAACUUCAUUUUCUGUUUGACUUCCAUCAUUUUAGAAAUUUAAUUUCUAAUAGUUUUCUAUUUCAUUUCUAAAUUUUACAACUGUUCUGUAAAUUUUAUGACUUUUAUUUGUUUUGUUUUAUUUCUAGUAGCUUUCAACUCCUCUUCCUAUAACAGGAUGGAUGAGCUUUGAGAUACAGUGCCUAAAUCAAUCCCAAUGACCUCAGUCAUUCAUCCAAGUUGGAGUAAAACAACACUACUCAAAAGUACAGAUCUCCAACCAGCAUUGGUCCCAAACCUUGUUACUGAUCUUAAAUGAGAUUAGCAUAGACAUUGGCAACAAUUGAUUAAAAAGUUUCAUAGAGGGGCGCCUGGGUGGUUCAGUCUGUUAAGUGGCUGACUCAAUUUCUGCUCAGGUCAUGACCCCAGGGUCAUGAUCUCAGAGUCAGGAGAUUGAGUCCAGCAUGGGCUAUAUGCUGGGCAUGGAGCCUACUUAAGAUUCUCUCCCUGCCUGUCCCUCCCUCUUCUCUCCCUCUCUCUAAAAGAAAAAAAAAAAUAUAUUAAAAAAAAUCUUGUAGAAACUUAAACAUGUUAAGUCUGUUAAAGUUAAUAAUAAAAACAAUUGGGUUUAUAUUUUGUUAUUGUUU
rnacentral:lncRNA from 1 species